AAUGAAAGAGACAAUAUAAAGUAAGAAGUAGCCUUUAUUCCAAGGACAUGGAGAGGAAUCCAUGACCAUAGAUGGUCUAGCUUCCUCUGACCAGAACAUGGGGUAUGGUAUGUACAUACUGUUAGGUCUGGGAGAUGGGGGAGGAGAGGAGAAGUCCGCGGGAGGAAUGGAGCGGAGUGGACGGCCGUAAAAGUAGUGGUCAGCGGUGGCUUUAUUCCGGGAAUGCGGGGAGGGGGCCCCCCCGCCGCCGGCGGCGGCGCCCGCCCCGGGCAUCUCUCACGGAGCCCGGGGCCGGGCUGUGGUCUCUCCGGGAACACGGGGAGUGGAGACUGGCGCGCUGGCUGGCGCUGGCCGCUGAAAUCUGGGUCUCUCUCUUUCUGGCGAACUCUCUCUGGCAAACUCCUCCGGCGAACUCCCUCGGACACGUGGCGUGGGAGAUCUAAAUAGCCUAAGCUUAGGGCAGCACCCUAACUUCAUUAGAGAUGCACAGAUAUCUCAUUGGCGCACAGGUCCUUAAGGAUGGGGAUACAGAAUUACAAUCAAGUCCAUAGGGGGCAGGGUGGGGGAGGAGUUUAGGUGCAGCCUUUUCUGGCUACAGUGUUUUAUUUGGGCGGGCAACUCUUUCACAUACAACAUCUUAACAGGGGUGGUGCUUAGAGCAGGCAUUGAUGACAAGUGUGGACCUGAUUGGAACUUU
rnacentral:lncRNA from 1 species